GAGUGCGAUCAUACCAACGUUAAUGCACCAGAUCCCAUCAGAACUCCGCAGUUAAGCGGGCUUGGCCUAGAGUAGUACUGGGAUGGGUGACCUUCCGGGAAGUCUUAGUGUUGUACCCU
rfam:Picea glauca, whole genome shotgun sequence.